rnacentral:rRNA from 1 species
ACGAACGCUCGCGGCGUGCUUAACCCAUGCCAGUCGAACGGAAAGGCCCUGCUUUUGUGGGGUGCUCGAGUGGCGAACGGGUGAGUAACACGUGAGUAACCUGCCCUUGACUUUGGGAUAACUUCAGGAAACUGGGGCUAAUACCGGAUAGGAGCUCCUGCUGCAUAGUGGGGGUUGGAAAGUUUCGGCGGUUGGGGAUGGACUCGCGGCUUAUCAGCUUGUUGGUGGGGUAGUGGCUUACCAAGGCUUUGACGGGUAGCCGGCCUGAGAGGGUGACCGGCCACAUUGGGACUGAGAUACGGCCCAGACUCCUACGGGAGGCAGCAGUGGGGAAUAUUGCACAAUGGGCGGAAGCCUGAUGCAGCAACGCCGCGUGCGGGAUGACGGCCUUCGGGUUGUAAACCGCUUUCGCCUGUGACGAAGCGUGAGUGACGGUAAUGGGUAAAGAAGCACCGGCUAACUACGUG